UUUUCCGGCCAAACCACGGUGAAUUAGCGAUCAAGAAAGGUACCAUUCUCUUCGUCUCGUCGAGAAAUAUGAUUUUUGUUUUUGAAUCACUUGAUUUUGUUGACUAUUGAAGAAGUUAUGAACGAUUAAAAUUUACCCUGUUUCUGGUGAGUUUUUAUUUUCCCGCGAACCAGUCACCUUUCAAGCUAUUUUCUGGCCAUCUCCGGCAAUCCAAAUAGGUAUAAUCUUGUUCUACACUUUCCUAUCUUCAUUUUGAUAUUAUGGAUUGAAUUUGGUUAAGAAACGAUUGAGUUACAAAGCUUUGAAAAUUGCCCAAACUUCCUGCCAAGAGCUCUGGGACAUUUAACCGAAUUUUUAACGGAAUGACCAAAAUAAUGGAUGAUGGACAAUCUUAGGGAUCAAAGUGAUGUAUUAUGCAAAUCUCAGAGACAAUUUUAGCUAAAAAGUCAUUUAUUAAUUCCCAAGACACUUGAGUGUUCCUCAAAUUGAAUGCAAAUUUAAUCUCAUUUAGGGGUGGGUUGGAAAAACCGAAAACCGAAAAAACCAGACCGAAAACCGAACCGAGGCCGAAAAAACCGAACCGAAUCUGUUGAACCGAACCAAACCGAAUCUGGUUGGUUCGGUUUCAAUUUCUGGGGUUUGGAAACUGAACUGAACCGAACCGAACCGAACAUCUUCAAAACGACGUCGUUUUAUAAUAUUUUAUUAAUUAAUAUCCUAAUUCUAAAACGACACCGUUUUAUUCCUAAACUAAAACUGCAACCCGAAAGUAAACCAACCCUAGCCCUCCUUCUCUCUCGGUCUCUCUCUUGUUUUUCCCAAUCCCCUGCCCUCCCCAGAUCGCAGUCGCACUUCGCAUUUCGCACGCAGCCUCGCAGCAGCCUCAUUCAUCUGUCUCUUUCUCUCACAGCAGCAGCCUCUCUUUGUCUCUCUCAUUCCCCCUUGCAGCAGCCUCACCUCAUAUGUCUCUCUCGCAGCAGCAUCCUCUCUGUCUGUCUUAGAGAUUCGCAGCAGCAUCCUCUCAAUCACAGCAAAAGGUUAGUUUCACGUUUAAUUUUCAGUUCUACUUAUACAGUUUUAGAGAUUUGAUUUGUAUUUUAGUGAAUAUAUUGAUUGAGUUGUAAUAACAUAUUGGGUAUUUUUAUGCUUCAUAAAGUAAUUGAAUUGAGUUCCCACAAUUGAUUGUGCUUCAGAUUGGGUAUUUUUAUGCUUCAGAAUGUCACUGGGGCACAUAGGUCAGAAAUUAAGUGAGCAAACUGUACCGUGUAGGCUUUAUGGUUUUUUAACUCAUAAAGUUGCAACUGUUGCGGUAUCAAUUGAGUUCUAAAGUGAGGUAAAUGUGAAUUAAUCCAAGGAUUUGAAGGCAACCUAUGAACCCAAGAAAUUAAUUAUUAAUUACUCACAAGAAAAAUAAUAAAGAAAUUAAGAGAAAAGAAGAACAUAUUUGUAUUGAUGAAAAUUUGUAUUUUUUUUUUGGAGGUGAAUUAAUUUGAUCUAAGACAUGUUAACAUGCACACUAGCGUUCUUGCUUCUUGGAACCCCUGUAGGCUUUAGCUAAAGCUAUAGAUAUAUAACAGACAUAGGUCAUAAAUGAAGUGAGCAAACUGUACCGUGUGGAUGAGUAAGAGUUGAUAUGCAAAUUGUACCGUGUGAAUGAGUAAGAGUUGAUAUAACAGACAUAGGUCAGAUUAAUUAGUUAGGAAGGAUAGAUUAUCCGUGUGUUUGCACACGAGUUUAAUUUAUCUCGCACAAAACGUUGUUUAAUGAGAAUUAUAUUGUAAAAUAUGUUAGACUUCUUGAGAAAUAUCAUUAAACUCUAACACUCAAAUGUUAUAUUUUAGCUAAAGCUAAAGAUAUAUAUAUAUAUAUAUAUAUAUAUAUAUAAUGGUUGCAGGUUGUGUAUAUAUAAUGGCUGCAAGUUGUGUAUGUGUGUGUUUGAAACAAUAUCCCUAAUGAAGGGAGUUUGGCUGCAGGUUAUAUAUAUAUAU
rnacentral:lncRNA from 1 species